AGCGGCAAAAGCUCAAAUUUGAAAUCUGGUACCUUCGGUGCCCGAGUUGUAAUUUGAAGAUUGUACUCUGGAGUUGGCCCUUGUCUAUGUUCCUUGGAACAGGACGUCACAGAGGGUGAGAAUCCCGUGCGAUGGGGUGUCCAAUUCCAUGUAGAGUGCUAUCGAAGAGUCGAGUUGUUUGGGAAUGCAGCUCUAAGUGGGUGGUAAAUUCCAUCUAAAGCUAAAUAUUGGCGAGAGACCGAUAGCGAACAAGUACAGUGAUGGAAAGAUGAAAAGAACUUUGAAAAGAGAGUGAAAAAGUACGUGAAAUUGUUGAAAGGGAAGGUUAUUAGAUCAGACUUGGUGUUUGGCGAUAUUCAGCCUCUUGUAGGCUGUUCACUCGUCUUUCACUGGGCCAGCAUCGGUUUGGAUGGCAGGAUAAUGGCUGUUGAACGUGGCUCUUCGGAGUGUUAUAGCUUCAGCUGAUACUGCCUAUCUAGACCGAGGACUGCGGCUUUCGAGCCUAGGAUGCUGGCGUAAUGAUCUAAUAUCGCCCGUCUUGAAACACGGACCA
rnacentral:rRNA from 1 species